rnacentral:rRNA from 1 species
CACGUAGGGGACGAGCGUUGUCCGGAUUCAUUGGGCGUAAAGCGCGCGUAGGCGGCUCGGAAAGUCGGGCGUGAAAUGCCGGGGCUCAACCCCGGGACUGCGUCCGAUACUGGUUGGCUUGAAUCCGGGAGAGGGAUGCGGAAUUCCUGGUGUAGCGGUGAAAUGCGCAGAUAUCAGGAGGAACACCGGUGGCGAAGGCGGGUCUCUGGGCAGUAACUGACGCUGAGGAGCGAAAGCGUGGGGAGCGAACAGG